AUUGAACGCUGGCGGCAUGCCUUACACAUGCAAGUCGAACGGUAACAGGUCUUCGGAUGCUGACGAGUGGCGAACGGGUGAGUAAUACAUCGGAACGUGCCCGAUCGUGGGGGAUAACGGAGCGAAAGCUUUGCUAAUACCGCAUACGAUCUACGGAUGAAAGCAGGGGACCGCAAGGCCUUGCGCGAACGGAGCGGCCGAUGGCAGAUUAGGUAGUUGGUGGGAUAAAAGCUUACCAAGCCGACGAUCUGUAGCUGGUCUGAGAGGACGACCAGCCAAACUGGGACUGAGACACGGCCCAGACUCCUACGGGAGGCAGCAGUGGGGAAUUUUGGACAAUGGGCGCAAGCCUGAUUCAGCCAUGCCGCGUGCGGGAAGAAGGCCUUCGGGUUGUAAACCGCUUUUGUCAGGGAAGAAAAGGCUCCUGUUAAUACCGGGGGCUCAUGACGGUACCUGAAGAAUAAGCACCGGCUAACUACGUGCCAGCCGCCGCGGUAACAC
rnacentral:rRNA from 1 species